rnacentral:rRNA from 1 species
AUUGAACGCUGGCGGCAGGCCUAACACAUGCAAGUCGAGCGGAUGACGGGAGCUUGCUCCUUGAUUCAGCGGCGGACGGGUGAGUAAUGCCUAGGAAUCUGCCUGGUAGUGGGGGACAACGUUUCGAAAGGAACGCUAAUACCGCAUACGUCCUACGGGAGAAAGCAGGGGACCUUCGGGCCUUGCGCUAUCAGAUGAGCCUAGGUCGGAUUAGCUAGUUGGUGGGGUAAUGGCUCACCAAGGCGACGAUCCGUAACUGGUCUGAGAGGAUGAUCAGUCCAACUGGAACUGGGACACGGUCCAGACUCCUACGGGAGGCAGCAGUGGGGAAUAUUGGACAAUGGGCGAAAGCCUGAUCCAGCCAUGCCGCGUGUGUGAAGAAGGUCUUCGGAUUGUAAAGCACUUUAAGUUGGGAGGAAGGGCAGUAAGCUAAUACCUUGCUGUUUUGACGUUACCGACAGAAUAAGCACCGGCUAACUCUGUGCCAGCCGCCGCGGUAA